CCUACGGGAGGCAGCAGUGGGGAAUAUUGCACAAUGGGCGCAAGCCUGAUGCAGCAACGCCGCGUGAGGGAUGACGGCCUUCGGGUUGUAAACCUCUUUUAGCAGGGAAGAAGCGAAAGUGACGGUACCUGCAGAAAAAGCGCCGGCUAACUACGUGCCAGCAGCCGCGGUAAUACGUAGGGCGCAAGCGUUAUCCGGAAUUAUUGGGCGUAAAGAGCUCGUAGGCGGUUUGUCGCGUCUGCUGUGAAAUCCCGAGGCUCAACCUCGGGCCUGCAGUGGGUACGGGCAGACUAGAGUGCGGUAGGGGAGAUUGGAAUUCCUGGUGUAGCGGUGGAAUGCGCAGAUAUCAGGAGGAACACCGAUGGCGAAGGCAGAUCUCUGGGCCGUAACUGACGCUGAGGAGCGAAAGGGUGGGGAGCAAACAGGCUUAGAUACCCUGGUAGUCCACCCCGUAAACGUUGGGAACUAGUUGUGGGGUCCAUUCCACGGAUUCCGUGACGCAGCUAACGCAUUAAGUUCCCCGCCUGGGGAGUACGGCCGCAAGGCUAAAACUCAAAGGAAUUGACGGGGACCCGCACAAGCGGCGGAGCAUGCGGAUUAAUUCGAUGCAACGCGAAGAACCUUAC
rnacentral:rRNA from 1 species